UGCCCGGUGGUGUAGUGGUAGCACUAAGGACUUUGACUCCUUCGACCCAGGUUCGAAUCCUGGCCGGGCAGCCA
rnacentral:tRNA from 4 species